CAUGCCGUAAACGAUGAUUACUAGGUGUGGGUGGUCUGACCCCAUCCGUGCCGCCGUUAACACAAUAAGUAAUCCACCUGGGAAGUACGACCGCAAGGUUGAAACUCAAAGGAAUUGACGGGGGCCCGCACAAGCAGUGGAGUAUGUGGUUUAAUUCGACGCAACGCGAAGAACCUUACCAGGUCUUGACAUCUGCCGAAUCCGGUGGAAACAUUGGAGUGCCCUUCGGGGAACGGCAAGACAGGUGG
rnacentral:rRNA from 1 species